AUCAGAAAACGGAUAGAAGAAUUUUCAGAUAAACUUCUUUGUUUAGAGAAAGGACUCAGAGGAUUCCAUGGAAAAUUGAUGAGGGAUCUGGAAUAUAAGACAAGUGAGUAUCUGGAGAGGAUAGUGGCUGAAGUUUGCAAAUUACCAUUUUCCUGUGAAGCUCUUAUUACUUAUGGGUCAGCCUGUUUGUUUUAAAGAGGAAGGUCUUCAUGUGACUAAUAUAUCAAAAUUCUUUAUCCUGAGUUCAGAACUAUAAACCUUUCCCCAGAUUUGCUCAGCUGUAGUGAUCCCAGUUCUUAUCUUUUUUUCCUCUCCAGUCUCAUCGCACUGCCUGAGCCUUGAAUUUUCUGUGUUUACACUUUCUAGAUUGCUAGAAACUUUCUAGUUGCUAACAGUCUGAACACAAGGUCAAAAGCAGUCUUUGUCCUGAUCCCCUGAGGAGCCUCCCACCAUUGUCAUGAAGGCCCCAGAACCUAUGGGACAAAUCUCAUUUCUAUCUUUUGUGAGGCCACACCUUUGUCUCCUUGUCCCCACAGUGAGGAUCAUCCUGAAUUCCCAGACAGCCAAUGGCUACCUCUCAGUGGCUCCAAAUGGGAAAAGUAUGAUGUUCACUGGCUUGUGGCUGAACAAAUGCCAGCGUGGUCAGUGAUUUGAUCCGGAGCCUGGGGUGCCGGGCAGUAAGGGCUUCACGUGGGGCAAAGUGUACUGGGAAGUGAAAGUGGACAGGAUCUGUGGGAAGCAGAGGAGGAAGAAGACUCAAGGAGAUACAGGGCUGGAGGCAGAGGCGUGUUUGGCAGUAACGAUCUUGGUGGAUUUACAGGCAUCACUGAUGGGUAUCUUUCUCCUGGAUAUAGAGAGGAGAAUGAGGAGUUGGAGGAGGAACGAUCUCAGGAAAAUAGAAUAUGGCCAAAAUUCUGCCUGGUGGGGGUGGCAAGAGAGUCAGUGGUGAGAAGGGGAUUUCUCAACUUCACCCCCAAGGAGGGGUUCUGGACUCUGCAGCUGUCCUCAGCUGGGGUGUCUAUAUGCACCAGCCCGGGGCCCUUCCAGAUCCUGUCCUACUGCCCCCAGUAGAUUGGAGUUGCUCUGGA
ensembl:lncRNA